rnacentral:rRNA from 1 species
UGGGUGAUCUGCCCUGCACUUCGGGAUAAGCCUGGGAAACUGGGUCUAAUACCGGAUAUACCUCAUUGAUCUCCUGGUUGGUGGGGGAAAGCUUUUGCGGUGUGGAUGGGCCCGCGGCCUAUCAGCUUGUUGGUGAGGUUACGGCUCACCAAGGCGUCGGACGGGUAGCCGGCCUGAGAGGGUGACCCGGCCACACGUGGGGACCGAGACCACGGCCCAGACUCCGUACGGGAGCAGC